rnacentral:rRNA from 1 species
UGAGGAAUUUUGCGCAAUGGCCGCAAGGCUGACGCAGCAACGCCGCGUGGGUGAUGAAGGCCUUCGGGUCGUAAAGCCCUGUCAGGUGGGAAGAAAGGCCUGGAGAGGAAAGGCUUCAGGUUUGACGGUACCACCAGAGGAAGCACCGGCUAACUCCGUGCCAGCAGCCGCGGUAAUACGGAGGGUGCGAGCGUUAUUCGGAAUUACUGGGCGUAAAGCGCGUGUAGGCGGGGAGACAAGUCUGAUGUGAAAGCCCUGGGCUUAACCUGGGAAGCGCAUUGGAAACUGUUUUUCUUGAGUACUGGAGAGGAAGGGGGAAUUCCCGGUGUAGAGGUGAAAUUCGUAGAGAUCGGGAGGAAUACCAGUGGCGUAGGCGCCCUUCUGGACGGUAACUGACGCUGAGACGCGAAAGCGUGGGGAGCAAACA